rnacentral:rRNA from 1 species
CAGCCGCCGCGGUAAUACGUAGGUGGCAAGCGUUGUCCGGAAUUAUUGGGCGUAAAGGGCUCGCAGGCGGUUUCUUAAGUCUGAUGUGAAAGCCCCCGGCUCAUCCUGGGAGGGUCAUUGGAAACUGGGAAACUUGAGUGCAGAAGAGGAGAGUGGAAUUCCACGUGUAGCGGUGAAAUGCGUAGAGAUGUGGAGGAACACCAGUGGCGAAGGCGACUCUCUGGUCUGUAACUGACGCUGAGGAGCGAAAGCGUGGGGAGCGAACAGGAUUAGAUACCCCCGUAGUCCCUGUCUCUUAUAC